UUCCCGCCAUUUCUCGUGAGGGCGGUGCGCGACGGCGGGGCAGGGCACGAGCAGCGCAGCGCAAUUAGUUCUUAAUUAGCGCUUAGUUAGUAAAGGGCUCGGGCUGCGGCAGUGGGUGUGCGUUCUGCGGGAACAGCAGUGAGCUCUUGCGUUCGUCAGUGUGUGUCUGUGUGCUGUCUUCACGCGUUUCUCCCUCCUGCGCUCCGUGGAGCAGUGGUCCGGGCCUGGCCCUUCCCCGGUGGAGCACAGCACUGCCGGGGCAGAGCGCUGCUCCAGGCUCCGCUGAUGUCGUCCCAGCAAUCACACAAUCAAUUAGGUUGGAACAGACCUCUGAGAUCAUCGAGUCCAGCCUAUAACCCAACACCAACGUGUCAAACAGACCACGCAUGCCAUGUCCAGUCUUAAACACCUCUCUACAUCCCCUUGAGCAGCCCAUUCCAAUGUCUAAUCACCUUUUUUGUGAAAAAAAAUUGUUCAACACGGAUUACUAGGGGAAUGUGAGUCAGAAGAUAGUACUCCUACCAGCAAAGAAGACACAUAUUAGUGAACACAGUCCAGUACAAGAUGUCAGAGCUAUUAAUAAGAUAGUUUUCCAGGGAAAUCAAAAGCAGUAGAACCAGUAAGAAUACAGCUGAAACCUGACUGUUACCUGGGAACAGAGGCUGACUCCCACCUGGCUACACCCUCCUGUCAGGGACUUGUAGAGUUCCCAUGUCAUCAUGCCAUCCAUGGGCUUUGUGAUGACAGCAACUGCAUGGUGUGACAGCAGCAGCCAAACAACUGGAGACACAGAAGGAGCAUCUGUCUGGGUAAAGGAGCCCCUUUUCCUCAGAAGUGUUGAAAUAAAGAUGUUACUAUUUUUAAAAUGGCACCAGUAGAAAAGCAACAAAGGGAUUUGUUGUAUUUCUGAUGAAUUCUGGUCUGUUUGGGAACUCUUUGCAAGAAUAAACAUUAAGGAUCCCAGAAAUGUUAACAUUUUCAGUGUUUCUGGUUAUAUACACAGGUUUUAGGGGGUGGGAGUAAAAAAAUAAAACUUAGGCUAUUAUUUAACUCACAACGCAAAAUCAACGAGGAAAGGGACCAAAAGUGCUACAUUUGAUUUAGGCAGCAAAAAUCUCUUUUUAUGUUAUCCAAAACAAAGCAUACUUUAAACCAAUGGAGUUAUUGCACCAGUCUCUCAUUUAGUCUUCAAGGAUCAUAAAAAUUUCAGUUUCUCUGUGAGGGUGGUUCUAGCCACACGCAGCACUUGGGAUUUCUGUGUUUAUAAAAUAAAAUCCAUCUCUCUUCUUUGAAAUUGCUUUGGCUCCUGCGUCCCCAUCCAACCAAUCUCUCCCUCAGCAGGCAAACAAGCACAUA